rfam:Physcomitrella patens subsp. patens PHYPAscaffold_324 genomic scaffold, whole genome shotgun sequence.
GAAUGUGAUGAGGGAGAAUUGUCGCCCCAGUCCUAUACGAGCACCACAGCUAAAUGAGGAUUGACUCUUUAAUUCUCUGAUUU